ACGCCCCGCCGUCGCCAUCACCCGCGGGGGGCACCGGCCCCCUGCAGCCGCCCCUGCGAGUGAGCAGGACCCUGCCCCAAGCACCACGGGGGGCAGUUCCCCCCACUGGCCCCUGAGGGCGGGGCAAUCCCCUCUGGCCGGGGCAGCCGGCUCCCCUGUCAGCCCCUCACCUUCAGAGCCGCAGCUGGGUCCGGGUCCGGGUCCGAGUCCGAGUCCGGUUAGGAGCAUCAAUGCAAAUGGCUGUUCUUCAGAAAUAUCACCUGAUUAUUUUUCUGCUUCUGAAGUGAUGCCUCAUGGAAUUGCUCUUGCUGGAUCACCUAGAGCCCCUGGCUGUAUUUCACUGCCUCUACCAAUGUCUGUGGUUCAGAUUAAGGUUAACUCAUGCUCACUGCAGCAGUCAGUGUCGCAACCUGUUAAUUUUAUUAUUCCAUAUGCUUUCUUGUCUGUUCAUUAAUGAGUCAAAGUGACCCAAAUUCACAUCUUUGAGCAUUGCCAGUCACCUAUAUUUGCCCUUUAUUGCAAAUAACAAAAAUCUCUCAAAAGCAAUAUUUUAAUAAAGAUAUAGUAAAUCUCAA